rnacentral:rRNA from 1 species
UCCCAUCCCGAACACGGAAGUUAAGCUUCUCAGCGCCGAUGGUAGUUGGGGGCUCUCCCCCUGCAAGAGUAGGACGUUGCCAGGC